rnacentral:rRNA from 1 species
UGGGGAAUAUUGCACAAUGGGCGCAAGCCUGAUGCAGCCAUGCCGCGUGUAUGAAGAAGGCCUUCGGGUUGUAAAGUACUUUCAGCGGGGAGGAAGGGAGUAAAGUUAAUACCUUUGCUCAUUGACGUUACCCGCAGAAGAAGCACCGGCUAACUCCGUGCCAGCAGCCGCGGUAAUACGGAGGUUGCAAGCGUUAAUCGGAAUUACUGGGCGUAAAGCGCACGCAGGCGGUUUGUUAAGUCAGAUGUGAAAUCCCCGGGCUCAACCUGAGAACUGCAUCUGAUACUGGCAAGCUUGAGUCUCGUAGAGGGGGGUAGAAUUCCAGGUGUAGCGGUGAAAUGCGUAGAGAUCUGGAGGAAUACCGGUGGCGAAGGCGGCCCCCUGGACGAAGACUGACGCUCAGGUGCGAAAGCGUGGGGAGCAAACAGG